GACGAACCGUGCGAACGUUAUUCGGAAUCACUGGGCUUAAAGCGCGUGUAGGCGGACGGGGACGUCGGUCGCUGAAAUCCCCCGGCUCAACCGGGGAACGGGCGCCGAAACGCCCCGUCUCGAGGGACGUAGGGGGACCUGGAACUUCCGGUGGAGCGGUGAAAUGCGUUGAGAUCGGAAGGAACGCCCGUGGCGAAAGCGAGGUCCUGGACGUCUACUGACGCUGAGACGCGAAAGCUAGGGGAGCGAACGGGG
rnacentral:rRNA from 1 species